rnacentral:rRNA from 1 species
UACAGAGGGUGCGAGCGUUGUCCGGAAUCACUGGGCGUAAAGGGCGCGUAGGCGGCUUGAUAAGGUUGCGGUGAAAGCCCGGGGCUCAACCCCGGGUCGGCCGUGGCAACUGUCGAGCUGGAGCACUGUAGAGGCAGGUGGAAUUCCGGGUGUAGCGGUGGAAUGCGUAGAGAUCCGGAAGAACACCGGUGGCGAAGGCGGUCUGCUGGGCCAAGACUGACGCUGAGGCGCGACAGCGUGGGGAGCAAACAGG